CACUAGUGAUUCUCCUGGAAACGGGUGGUAAUGCCGGAUGCUCCAGUUGGAUGCAUGUCCUUCUGGGAAAGAUUAUAUCGGUAUGGGAUGGGGUCGCGUCCUAUCAGGUAGUCGGCGGGGUAACGGCCUACCGAGCCUACGACGGGUAGCCGGCCUGAGAGGGCGACCGGCCACAUUGGGACUGAGAUACGGCCCAGACUCCUACGGGAGGCAGCAGUGGGGAAUAUUGCACAAUGGGCGCAAGCCUGAUGCAGCGACGCCGCGUGCGGGAUGACGGCCUUCGGGUUGUAAACCGCUUUUGAUCGGGAGCAAGCCUUCGGGUGAGUGUACCUUUCGAAUAAGCACCGGCUAACUACGUGCCAGCAGCCGCGGUAAUACGUAGGGUGCAAGCGUUAUCCGGAAUUAUUGGGCGUAAAGGGCUCGUACGCGGUUCGUCGCGUCCGGUGUGAAAGUCCAUCGCUUAACGGUGGAUCCGCGCCGGGUACGGGCGGGCUUGAGUGCGGUAGGGGAGACUGGAAUUCCCGGUGUAACGGUGGAAUGUGUAGAUAUCGGGAAGAACACCAAUCGAAUU
rnacentral:rRNA from 1 species